rnacentral:rRNA from 1 species
UACGAAGGGGGCUAGCGUUGCUCGGAAUCACUGGGCGUAAAGCGCACGUAGGCGGAUCCUUAAGUCGGGGGUGAAAUCCUGGAGCUCAACUCCAGAACUGCCUUCGAUACUGAGGAUCUCGAGUCCGGGAGAGGUGAGUGGAACUGCGAGUGUAGAGGUGAAAUUCGUAGAUAUUCGCAAGAACACCAGUGGCGAAGGCGGCUCACUGGCCCGAUACUGACGCUGAGGCACGAAAGCGUGGGGAGCAAACAGG